UACGUAGGGUGCAAGCGUUGUCCGGAAUUAUUGGGCGUAAAGAGCUCGUAGGCGGUCUGUCGCGUCUGCUGUGAAAAUCCAGGGCUCAACCCUGGACCUGCAGUGGGUACGGGCAGACUAGAGUGCGGUAGGGGAGAUCGGAAUUCCUGGUGUAGCGGUGAAAUGCGCAGAUAUCAGGAGGAACACCGGCGGCGAAGGCGGAUCUCUGGGCCGUAACUGACGCUGAGGAGCGAAAGCGUGGGGAGCGAACAGG
rnacentral:rRNA from 1 species